AACGAACGCUGGCGGCAGGCCUAACACAUGCAAGUCGACCGCCCGGAUUUAUCCGGGAGCGGCGCACGGGUGAGUAACGCGUGGGAAUAUGCCCUGAAGUACGGAACAACCGGGGGAAAUCUUGGCUAAUACCGUAUACGCCCUGAGGGGGCAAUAUUUAUCGCUUUGGGAUUGGCCCGCGUUGGAUUAGCUGGUUGGUGUGGUAGCGGCGCAGCAAGGCGACGAUUCAUAACUGGUCUGAGAGGAUGACCAGUCACACUGGGACUGAGACACGGCCCAGACUCCUACGGGAGGCAGCAGUGGGGAAUAUUGGACAAUGGGCGAAAGCCUGAUCCAGCCAUGCCGCGUGAGUGAAGAAGGCCUUCGGGUUGUAAAGCUCUUUCAGCGGGGACGAUGAUGACGGUACCCGCAGAAGAAGCCCCGGCUAACUUCGUGCCAGCCGCCGCCGUAA
rnacentral:rRNA from 1 species